CCUCCCGCUCCAUCCUUCUGGUCCUUCAGGUCCUUCUCUUUCUCCCUCUUCCUCUCGCCGCUCACCACCAGCAUGUUCCCGUCCUCCACCUGGACCUUGAUCUGGUCCGGCUUCAGCCCCGGCAUGUCGAGCACGAACACGUACGAGUUCGGGUACUCCUUCACGUCGGCCGGCGUCGCGGCCAUCGCCUUCUUGUCGCGCAGGAAGGCGCGGGACGGGGCGUGGUGGGACUUGGCGUCGGGCUCGUCGGAGAGGUCGAGGAGCUCGUGGAGGGUGUCCAGCACGGUGGGGUCGAAGCCCAUGUCUCUGAGAUCCAUGCUCUUCAGCUGCAAAGCCUCGAUGAGAAGCGUCUCUUUGCG
rnacentral:lncRNA from 1 species